GACGAACGCUGGCGGCGUGCCUAAUACAUGCAAGUUGAGCGCUGAAGGUUGGUACUUGUACCAACUGGAUGAGCAGUGAACGGGUGAGUAACGCGUGGGGAAUCUGCCUUUGAGCGGGGGACAACAUUUGGAAGCGAAUGCUAAUACCGCAUAAAAACUUUAAACACAAGUUUUAAGUUUGAAAGAUGCAAUUGCAUCACUCAAAGAUGAUCCCGCGUUGUAUUAGCUAGUUGGUGAGGUAAAGGCUCACCAAGGCGAUGAUACAUAGCCGACCUGAGAGGGUGAUCGGCCACAUUGGGACUGAGACACGGCCCAAACUCCUACGGGAGGCAGCAGUAGGGAAUCUUCGGCAAUGGACGAAAGUCUGACCGAGCAACGCCGCGUGAGUGAAGAAGGGUUUCGGAUCGUAAAACUCUGUUGGUAGAGAAGAACGUUGGUGAGAGUGGAAAGCUCAUCAAGUGACGGUAACUACCCAGAAAGGGACGGCUAACUACGUG
rnacentral:rRNA from 1 species